GUCCAUGGCCACAUCACCCAGAACGCGCCUGAUCGCAUCUGAUUUUGGAAGCUAAGCAGGGUCAGGUCGGGUUAAUACUUGGAUGGGAGACCGCCUGGGGAUACCAGGUGCUGUAGGCU
ensembl:rRNA 5S_rRNA 5S ribosomal RNA